AUACUUACCUGACAGGAAAGAUACCAUGAUCACAAAGGUAAUUUUCCCAGGGUUAGCUUCCUCCAUUACACACCGGAUGUGCUGACCCCUGUUAUUUCCCCAAAUGUGGGAAAUUCAACUGCAUAAUUUGUGGUAGUGGGGAGUGUCUGCAUGUUCAAAUC
ensembl:snRNA U1 U1 spliceosomal RNA